AGCACACCAAUCAGUAAGCUGUUGAAAUGCCAUCAGGGUACUGAUGGCAUUACAGAAUCCUAAUUUGUACGUCUAAGAUUGGCUUCUGUUUCAAACAAAAGGAUGCAUUGACUACCUGCAAAAACAGAUGACUGUGUGGAAUCUUAUAGGGGUCUGAGUAAAGUGAGCUUUGAUGAGAUAUAUGACAGAAUUAGAAGAGAAGUCUACCCAAGAUGAUCUCGUGAUCAGGAGUAUCUUGUUGUAUCCUUUCUGCUUUUGCCAAGCAGCAUGCCUCAGUAUGGACAUAAUCUCCUGCCUCAGUGAGGGUUCGAUCUCCCAGCCUCAGUAUGGACAUGAUCUCCUGCCUCAGUGAGGGUUCGAUCUCCCAGCCUCACUGGGGGCUCGGUUUCCCGGCCUUAGUGUGGGCUUGAUCUCCUGGCCUCAGUGUGGAAUUUUUGGCUUCAGUGUGGACUUGACAUCCCGGCUUCAGUGUGGGCUCAACCUCCUGGCCUCAGCGUGGAUUCGAUCUCCCAGCCUCAGUGCGGGCUUGAUCUCCCGGCCUCAGCAUGGACACAAUCUCCCGGCCUCAUUGUGGACUUGAUCUCCCAACCUCAGCAUGGAUUUGACUUCCCGGCCUCAAUGUGUGUUCAACCUCCCGGCCUCAGCAUAGACUCAAUUCCUGGUAUUCCUGCACUCAAGGUGAAGCCCGUGCAGUCUGGGUUGGAAGGGUUGUUAUUCUGAAUUCUUAUUUUUUUCUAGCUUAUUGCUGGACUUAUUAGUUUCUAUAUUUUUCUAUUUUUUUCCUCUAAGAAUGUGUACUUGAGAAUCUGUACCUGAGGUAUCUUGGUAUCAAAGAUGGCACAA